rnacentral:rRNA from 1 species
GACGAACGCUGGCGGCGUGCUUAACACAUGCAAGUCGAACGGAAAGGCCCUGCUUUUGUGGGGUGCUCGAGUGGCGAACGGGUGAGUAACACGUGAGUAACCUGCCCUUGACUUUGGGAUAACUUCAGGAAACUGGGGCUAAUACCGGAUAGGAGCUCCUGCUGCAUGGUGGGGGUUGGAAAGUUUCGGCGGUUGGGGAUGGACUCGCGGCUUAUCAGCUUGUUGGUGGGGUAGUGGCUUACCAAGGCUUUGACGGGUAGCCGGCCUGGGAGGGGGACCGGCCACAUUGGGACUGAGAUACGGCCCAGACUACUACGGGAGGCAGCAGUGGGGAAUAUUGCACAAUGGGCGGAAGCCUGAUGCAGCAACGCCGCGUGCGGGAUGACGGCCUUCGGGUUGUAAACCGCUUUCGCCUGUGACGAAGCGUGAGUGACGGUAAUGGGUAAAGAAGCACCGGCUAACUACGUG